rnacentral:rRNA from 1 species
AUGAGCACGGCGGCGCGGACGACGGGGCGGCGGGGGUUUACCAUGGGGCGCAGCGAGGACGCGACGCACCCGGACACCAUCCGCGCCGCCAUCUCCGAGUUCCUCGCCACGGCCAUCUUCGUCUUCGCCGCCGAGGGCUCCAUCCUCUCCCUCGGGAAGCUCUACCAUGACAUGAGCACGGCGGGCGGGCUGGUGGCCGUGGCGCUGGCACACGCGCUGGCGCUGGCCGUGGCGGUGUCCGUGGCCGUGAACAUCUCCGGGGGCCACGUCAACCCGGCCAUCACCUUCGGCGCGCUGCUCGGCGGCCGCAUCACCCUCGUGCGCGCCCUCUUCUACUGGAUCGCGCAGCUCCUCGGCGCCAUCGUCGCCUCCCUCCUCCUCCGCCUCACCACCGGAGGCAUGCGGCCGCCCGGUUUCUCCCUGGCGUCGGGGGUGGGGGACUGGCACGCGGUGCUGCUGGAGGCGGUGAUGACGUUCGGCCUCAUGUACGCCUACUACGCGACGCUGAUCGACCCCAAGAGGGGCCACGUGGGCACCAUCGGGCCGCUCGCCGUGGGGUUCCUGCUCGGGGCUAACAUACUCGCCGGCGGGCCGUUCGAUGGCGCCGCGAUGAACCCGGCGCGGGUCUUCGGGCCGGCGCUCGUCGGGUGGCGGUGGAGGCACCACUGGGUCUACUGGCUCGGGCCCUUCCUCGGCUCCGGCCUCGCUGGGCUCCUCUACGAGUACGUCGUCAUGCCGUCUACCGAGACCGCCGCCCACGCCCACCAGCCGCUCGCGCCGGAGGACUACUAG